UACGAAGGGGGCUAGCGUUGCUCGGAAUCACUGGGCGUAAAGGGCGCGUAGGCGGCGUUUUUAAGUCGGGGGGUGAAAGCCUGUGGCUCAACCACAGAAUGGCCUUCGAUACUGGGACGCUUGAGUAUGGUAGAGGUUGGUGGAACUGCGAGUGUAGAGGUGAAUUCGUAGAUAUCGGGAGGAACACCGGUGGCGAAGGCGGCGAUCUGGGUCGAUACUGACGCUGAGGUGCGAAAGCGUGGGGAGCAAACAGG
rnacentral:rRNA from 1 species